GAUGAACGCUGGCGGCGUGCCUAAUACACGCAAGUCGAGCGAACAGACGAGGAGCUUGCUCCUCUGACGUUAGCGGCGGACGGGUGAGUAACACGUGGAUAACCUACCUAUAAGACUGGGAUAACUUCGGGAAACCGGAGCUAAUACCGGAUAAUAUAUUGAACCGCAUGGUUCAAUAGUGACAGACGGUUUUGCUGUCACUUAUAGAUGGAUUCGCGCCGCAUUAGCUAGUUGGUAAGGUAAAGGCUUACCAAGGCAACGAUGAGUAGCCGACCUGAGAGGGUGAUCAGCCACACUGGAACUGAGACACGGUCCAGACUCCUACGGGAGGCAGCAGUAGGGAAUUUUCGACAAUGGGCGAAAGCCUGACGGAGCAAUGCCGCGUGAGUGAUGAAGGUCUUCGGAUCGUAAAGCUCUGUUGUUAGGAAAGAACAAAUGUGUAAUAAUCUAGGCGCGUCAUGACGGUACCUGAACAGAAAGCACCGGCUAACUACGUG
rnacentral:rRNA from 1 species